CGCAGGUAGGAGAGGGCUCGCGCUGACCCGUGUGAGGUGCAGCCAGCCACUGCUGACGCCUCAGGGAGCCGGGCAGCUUCUGAUCGGGUCCAGCGCAGACAGGUGCCAGCCGGGAUGUCGCAGCAGACCAUCUGCGUCCAGCGUCCGCUGCGCUGCGCGGAUUGUGACGUCGACUUCCCCAAUCUGUGGAUGAAGGCCCUUCAUGAUGAAAAGGACCAUCCAGACUGGUCAUUUCAUGGUAAGUUGGAAGAAAAUGGUGCUGUGCAUUUAGCGAUGUAUCCCCUUGAUGUUGUUGCCUGCCUGUUCUCAUCUUAAGAUUUGCGACGUACUUGUUGCAUAAUUAUUGAGGGGAGUGUCCCACAUUUGUAUGAAAUUUUGAAGAUCAUUCAGCGCAGUUCACAACCCUGCCCUUUUUGAGACCAAACACCUCUAGUUUUUGGGCUAUACGUACGAGAAGAUGAGAAGACUAUUUCUGAGAGAUUGUUUCGUCGUCAUCUAGGUAUCUAUGACGCUAUAAUUUCAUUCGACUUUUGCCGUUUGAUUAGCCAUGCGGCCAUCGAGGCCAAUAAAAAUGUUACAGUGGCGCCGUUUGUAUAUGGCGUUAGUGAGCACCAUUUACAGAUAUGAUGGUCGGCAAUUGGCUCUCAGUCAACGUUGUACAGGGCAUGAUGACGUAAUCAACAAGUGACGCAUUGAAUAGCGUGUUUACUAAACAUUGAUAUUGCGUUGUCUAGAGCAGUCUUUUCCACUUAAAAAUAUUCUAAUAUCUAUGAGUGAGAUUAUUCUAUGAUAUCUGAUGCUUGCUUCAAUACCUUCGAAUGUGGAGCAUUUCCUUGUUCGCGGAUGCAUAGCAGGAAUUAGUUCCCAGACGAAUUUUCGCGGCAUGAAUUUCGUUUCCACUUUUCCCGCGGGAAAUUGACCUUUCUGCAUGCUUCAAGGUGCAGCCAGUUGUUUACUGAUCUGCGCGGAAGUUUCUCUAAUGCCUGCUGAAACGGUCAGCGUCCCAAUUUCGUAAGUCCAGUUUCUAAGCCAGCAAGUUUUUCGGUUGGGUUGAGCUGGGUUUGACUGCGAUGUUGGCUCAAGGCCUGCCGAUCGUCAUGAUGUUCAUGCUAAAUGACGCUCCUAUACCCCUGGUAUUUCCGGAUUUAAGGUCAGCUUCUUCGUUAAUUGUAUUAUUGCUCUGCAUGAUGUUAAAGGGAAGGUUUCACAUUUCAAGAUAUUGAAGCGAGCACCAGAUAUGACGAAAGAAGCUGACAUAUAACUAUUGGUACACUUUUAAGAAGAAAAAACUGCCCUUUGCCACCACAGUUUCUUUGUUUAGUAAGUAUGCUCUUCGGCAAGUCAUUGUUUUAUCACGUCAUCGUACUUUGCACAAUAUUGUGCGAGGGCCAAUUGACGGUCGUUAUAUCUGGGAAUCUUGUUCACGAACGCCAGAUAUAACCGGCUCGACCAUUACAUUUUUCUCGGCCUCGAUCACUGCAUGGCUUAUGGAAUGGUAGGUAUUGGAUGACCUUAUGAUGGUGUUAUGAAUGUCAAGGUAACCACGAAAUACUCUCCCCGAAGCACUCUCCUCCAUUUUCGCGGG
rnacentral:lncRNA from 1 species